GUUUUGAUGAACAUAAUUAAUAGAACUACGUAGCAUAACGUUGCUGAUGUUUAAAGUCUAAGAAUGAUAAUAAUAACGUCUCGCAUAAAAUACAGACACGUUAAGAAUCCAAAACAAGUUUUUUGUCGUUACCUCAGCGCUAACAUGCAAACAGGUAAGUAAAGAUAGACGUGUGAAUACCGUAGCAGGGGACUAAAAACCGGUUUGGCCGUAUGGGGAGACGGCGCCGACCGGCGAGGCGGCGCGGCGAGCAGAGACCCCGCGCAGCGCCGAACGAGGCCGGUUAGUUAAUGCAGUGCGCUUACGUCGGCAUAAAUACGUCACAACAAACUAUCAAAGUAACACAUGGAGAAACUAAUAUCAGGCGUACGCGCCGAACCUUGCUUAUGGAAUCCAGUUCAUUCUGACUAUCGGGAAGUCUUAGAAAGGGAAGCAGCUUGGCAGCGAGUCGUUACGCAUUGUAAUUGCAAAUCUAUACCUGACGUCAAAGCCGCAAGAGCAGCGUGGAGAAAAUUGCGUGACAAUCAUAGGGAGGCACUAAAAAGGGCUAAAUUGGGCCAAAACAAGCUUUUACCUGCGCAAAUAACGACAUGGAAAUACGCCAAAGCGAUGCAGUUCCUUGAACCCUACAUGAAGUACAGAAUUACAGAAACCAUAGAAGCCGACGGACUCGACGAAAAGGACGUAAACACUUUGGACUCCGAUGUAUCGACUAGUGACAACGGAAAUGUAUCUCAAGAUGUGCUUUGUUCUGCACAAAAGCGACGGUGUGUCGAAAACACAGGCGACUCCACAUCAAGACCUCAGUUUGCUAGCGAAUCCUCGUUGAGACUUACCCAAGCAGACGCCUUGGAAUCAUUUUUUGGUUGUAUGUUGAAGUCUACAAGAGAAAUGCCACUAUGGAUGCAAACACAAGUGAAGAAAAAGAUUUUCGCAAUUAUAAUAGACGCUGAAGAACAAUUGUCAUCGAAUAAUCGAAAUGAUGAGAGCAACACACAAAAUAUUCCUACUAUAACAAAUAUAAAAACAGAAGUAAUAUACCCUGAAGAUACCUACUAGCUAAAGUAGCUGUUCUAUCCACUUUAGUAUCUAGAACUUUUUAUAAUAAGAAAAGAAGUGAUUGUGAAUUACAAUAUUCGGUUACACACGGAAUAGAACUAACUAAGUACGUGUAAAGCCACGUGUAAAAAAACUAACUAAGUUAAUUUAUCGGUAACAUUUACAUUACAGCCAAAGAAAACCGUGCAAAACAUUUUUCUUUGUUUCUUUUACCUUGGUGUUACUGAAACUAUAUUUAAGAGCUCAAUUUCAUAUGUUUAAUAUGAAUAAAGACAUACAAUGCUGA